GGCAUGUGCCCUGACCAGGAAUUGAACCUGUGACCUCUUGGUUCAUGGAUUGAUGCCCAACCACUGGGCCACCCUGGCUAGGCUGAACUGUGAAAUCUAAUAGCACCCUGUAGGAGAUAGACCUGACAGUCCUAGGGAGGGUGACAUAGAGUCAUGGAAUAAUGCUGAUUAGGCCUCUUGACUGUGGGAGGCAGUUUUAUAACUGGCACUUUAACUCACGCUUGGAGCUGGAGAACAGGGGAAGCUGGAUGAAGCUGCACAUUAAGAAAGGAAAUCAGCAUUUUCUAAUGCUGUAUAAGUAAUGAUGGGGAAGUAAAGCUCUGCUUUCAUUUCUUCCGUUUAUUAUAGAAGCUCAGCAUAGCAUGGGCUUUCAGAGGCAGUAGGCCCUACAUUCAGAAACUUGAUUUAAUUACUUAAUGGGAGGUCAGUGUGAAUCAUCUGUUUGCGGUGGAAAGCCCAGUUAGACUGAAGAUCAGUUUGCUUUCUAAGGAUAGCUGGGAAGGCGGGGCAGGGUAUUACAGAUUGGCCAGAGAUGAUCCAAAAAAGGACAAAUCUACACAGAGGUCACUGAGUUAGUUGAUUGCUAAUUUGACAUUCGAGUGAAAACUUCCUCUGGGCAAAUUAAGCAAAGAUAAAAGUAUAAACAUACUUUUGAAGUGGCAUCAGGAAAAGUGUUUCAGUCUAGCGUGCUUAGGAAGACCACAGUGAGGGGAGGUGUAGAUUCUGGGCUUUUGUCAGACAGGGUGGAAGGGGCCGUUAGGGGUAUAGGGUAGAAAACAAAAGUAACAUCUUUUAUUUACUCCAAGCUUGUGGGCUAAACUUUUUGUGGGUCUGAGAAAUAAACCUUUUCUGAAAAAGUUGUAGCUUUGGAAAAAAAAAUUUUCCUAUUUUUCCCAAGUUAGGAAAAGCAUAGCAUCCCUUGUCACCUUAAAUGUCCAGCCCCUAUUUUGAUUAACACCCCAGUAUGAGUUAUAGCAAUAAGAGGAACUGAGUCUACUUUUGUUUCAAAUCUUUACCUCAUCUUAUGAUAUCAGUAUGUCAGUUAAUAAAUUUUACCCUGAGUACUACUGCUUAUAGGUAUGUUAUUCUUGCUCUGUUUUCAAUGGUGAUAAUUUUAAAGGCCCAGAGAAAGUUGGGAUUAUCCUGAAUUUCAGAGUGUUUCUUGAAUUGAUUUUGUUCUGUGGUACAAAUAACAUCUGUGUAUAUCAUAUCUGUAUAUAUCUGAACCAAGUUGUGUGUAGAGAAGCUGAUAUAACUAUAUUUACAGAAAAUAAUUUUUACAAUUAAAAUUCACAUUUUAACAUGAACACGUGUGCGCAGUCCUUCACCUGGUCCAAGAAAUGUGUCUGUAGUAGGGAGUGACGGCUAAUGCAAGAGCAGAGCCCACGACUGCACGCUGACCUCACUUCCCGCGACAGUGUGGGAAACCCGAGAGCUGGGGCCUGUCCUCCUGGAGGCCACGGACAGACAUUCUCCAAGUAACGGGAACCAAAGCCGGAAUAACUGCCAUCCGGAGGAGCCAGGACCUCGAACCCCAAUCCCAUCAGAAGACUUCUAGGGGAGGACACCACAGAGACCACAGCCCUUCCGUUUCACGUCUCCUCCCACCAAAGCAUCUCCUCCCCUCCAUGGGCAGUGAGUAGGUGAUCCUCACUCUGCUUGUUCGGACCCACCUGUUACUUUUUUCUGGUGACAGAAGCACAGUUUUAAACACCUCUCUGAAGAAGUCAUAGGACAGCAGAAAGUACAUGCUUUGGCAACUUCCCAUGAAAAAUUUUAGAUGUCAACUUCAAGUGGGACGGGACACCUGGUUUUGGCAAAACUUCUAGGAAGUACACAACUUUACAACACUGUCCAGGUGAGGCUGGGGGACGGCCUGGAAUACAAUCACCUGGGGAGGGAGGGAGGCUGCUUGUCAGGAAAAUGCAGGUUCCUGGGCUCCAUCCAGAUUGAGUUAUGUAAGUUUGGGUUGGACCCCAAGUAAGUCAAUUUUCAACAUGCACCCCAGCUGGUUUGUCAUGCAAACUA